GCCUACGGGGCGCAGCAGUAGGGAAUUUUCGUCAAUGGGCGCAAGCCUGAACGAGCAAUGCCGCGUGAACGAGGAAGGUCUUCGGAUCGUAAAGUUCUGUUGAAGGGGAAAAAGAGCGGAGAGAGGAAAUGCUUUCUGAUUGAUAUUACCCUUCGAGGAAGUCACGGCUAACUACGUGCCAGCAGCCGCGGUAACACGUAGGUGGCGAGCGUUAUCCGGAAUGAUUGGGCGUAAAGGGUGCGUAGGCGGCCUGCUAAGUCUGGAGUGAAAGGUACCGGCUCAACCGGUACAGGCUCUGGAAACUG
rnacentral:rRNA from 1 species